rnacentral:rRNA from 1 species
UACGUAGGGUGCGAGCGUUGUCCGGAAUUACUGGGCGUAAAGAGCUCGUAGGUGGUUUGUCGCGUUGUUCGUGAAAACCGGGGGCUUAACCCUCGGCGUGCGGGCGAUACGGGCAGACUAGAGUGCUGUAGGGGAGACUGGAAUUCCUGGUGUAGCGGUGAAAUGCGCAGAUAUCAGGAGGAACACCGGUGGCGAAGGCGGAUCUCUGGGCCUUACCUGACGCUGAGGCGCGAAAGCGUGGGGAGCGAACAGG